rnacentral:rRNA from 1 species
GACGAACGCUGGCGGCGUGCCUAAUACAUGCAAGUAGAACGCUGAAGGAGGAUCUUGCUUCUCUGGAUGAGUUGCGAACGGGUGAGUAACGCGUAGGUAACCUGCCUGGUAGCGGGGGAUAACGAUUGGAAACGAUAGCUAAUACCGCAUAAUAGCAGUUGCUGCAUGACAACUGUUUGAAAGGUGCAAUUGCACCACUACCAGAUGGACCUGCGUUGUAUUAGCUAGUUGGUGGGGUAACGGCUCACCAAGGCGACGAUACAUAGCCGACCUGAGAGGGGGAUGGGCCAAACUGGGACUGAGACACGGCCCAGACGCCUGCGGGAGGCAGCAGUAGGGAAUCUUCGGCAAUGGACGGCAGUCUGACCGAGCAACGCCGCGUGAGUGAAGAAGGUUGUCGGAUCGUAAAGCUCUGUUGUAAGAGAAGAACGAGUGUGAGAGUGGAAAGUUCACACUGUGACGGUAUCUUACCUGAAAGGGACGGCUAACUACGUG